AAACCUCCUCCUCCGCCCCCGCACCCAAAGCAUCGUCCCCUGUCGCAGAGGAACCAACCCCCGAAGAUGAUUACUCGGCAACCAGCCCCAGUGACUCUGCCGAGGGACCCACCGUAUCCUCCCCACCGGCUCCUACCCCGGAAAGCACCUCCGCCGACGGACCAUCAUCUGACGCACCCACCGCCGAGUCACCCCAAAGCGGCGCCGUAACCAAUGUGAAGCUCUCUAUCGCCGGCACUGUCACCGCCGUUGGAUUCUUCUUCUUCUCUCUCUAAGUUUUCUUUAAACCUGGAGGACGGAAUCAUAUUUGUUUAACAUUUGUGAGA
rnacentral:lncRNA from 1 species